rnacentral:lncRNA from 1 species
GAGGGGGUUCCCUUGGCGAUUGAGUCGAGGAGGCAAUUUUCAGUUUAGCUUGGGACGAUCUGAUGCAAAUAUUUUGUUUUUUUCUCAGAUAAGAAAGAAAAAUUAGCUAACUAAUAUCUAAAUAUUCCCAAACGGAUACGCAAGCCCACACAUAUAUAUUUAACAAAAAGAGAAAGAGUUUGAGUUUCAGAACAGAUAUACCAGACUAUGCGUCGAGCAAUAGUAAACUUUUCGCGCCUGAAUUUUUUUUUAUUUUUCAAUUUCUGCUCUGAUGGCCCUGUUCUGUUUGUAGUGUAGAACAAACGAUCAAAAGCUCAGGACCUGAUCCGUCCUAACGAAGCGUAGAUAUGAAAAACAAGUUCAAAAUUUUGAAAAAUAAAAUUUAAACAUUUGAACCUUUCCGAUAUUAUUUUUAGAGGCUUAGAAGUGUAGAGAAAGUAAACAGAAAAAGAUUUAUACCUUCCGAGUUUAAUUCCGAAAAAAAUGAGAAUCUUGUUGAAUUUU